rnacentral:sRNA from 1 species
UCCAGGCAUGGUGGUGCAUGCCUGUAAUCCCAGCAUCUCUGGAGGCUGAGACAGGAGGAUCAUGAGUUCAAAGCCAGCCUUAGCAAAAGCAAGGUGCUGAGCAACUUGGUGAGACUCUGUCUCUU